rnacentral:lncRNA from 1 species
ACCAAGACUCGGAAAAAUAAUUUCAAUUUAAAAUGUUACGUCAAACAAAAGAGUUCAUUUCGAUUUGAAUGUAAAUCUCAACAAAAAUUAUCACAAAGAAAUAAUGUUUCAGUAAAAAGUGUUAAAUCAAUAUGGAAAGCGUUACAAAUUUUUCUGUAUCGCUCAUAAAAGGUUUUAUAGACAGUUUGCGAGGUGUAACAGUGCUAUUAUACUUAGAUAAAGAGAUUAAUGAGCGUGCUCUAAGCCGGACAUCGCCAAUCGAUUUUGAUAAACAUAA